rnacentral:rRNA from 1 species
UACGUAGGGUGCAAGCGUUGUCCGGAAUUAUUGGGCGUAAAGAGCUCGUAGGCGGUUCUCGCGUCGGCUGUGAAAUCCCGAGGCUCAACCUCGGGUCUGCAGUCGAUACGGGGCGGACUGGAGUUCGGCAGGGGAGACUGGAAUUCUUGGUGUAGCGGUGAAAUGCGUAGAUAUCAAGAGGAACACCUGCGGCGAAGGCGGGUUGCUGGGCCGACACUGACACUGAGAGACGAAAGCUAGGGGAGCGAAUGGG